rnacentral:rRNA from 1 species
AUUGAACGCUGGCGGCAGGCUUAACACAUGCAAGUCGAGCGGGGUGAUGGUGCUUGCACUAUCACUUAGCGGCGGACGGGUGAGUAAUGCUUAGGAAUCUGCCUAUUAGUGGGGGACAACAUCUCGAAAGGGAUGCUAAUACCGCAUACGUCCUACGGGAGAAAGCAGGGGAUCACUUGUGACCUUGCGCUAAUAGAUGAGCCUAAGUCGGAUUAGCUAGUUGGUGGGGUAAAGGCCUACCAAGGCGACGAUCUGUAGCGGGUCUGAGAGGAUGGUCCGCCACACUGGGACUGAGACACGGCCCAGACUCCUACGGGAGGCAGCAGUGGGGAAUAUUGGACAAUGGGGGGAACCCUGAUCCAGCCAUGCCGCGUGUGUGAAGAAGGCCUUAUGGUUGUAAAGCACUUUAAGCGAGGAGGAGGCUCUUUUGGUUAAUACCCAGAAUGAGUGGACGUUACUCGCAGAAUAAGCACCGGCUAACUCUGUGCCAGCAGCCGCCGAA